UAGUAUCCAUGUCUCCUAAUUAACCAUCUCAUUUUUAUCCCAGCCUGGUGUGCUCCGCAAAUACCCUCAUGAACUUCAGCCAUUACUAGCUGGGCAUCUUCGGAGCCGAGGCAACGAAGAAGAAGGUCAUCAUCAGGACUUUUCCUUAGCAGUUCACCAUUUUUAAUUGUGAACUUGCUAGACAACAUUCUAAUUUUUUGGCUCCCACCGCCAUCAGUUUUCAUCAAAAGGUGUUGGAUUAUGUAAAAUCUCCAAUCACCAAGUGGUACGUCUAACUCAAAGACAUCGGCCGGCAUACCUCUCUCGGCCAAAGAUGGCAACGAUUUUCUCUCAAUUAUGAUGAUUUUGUUAGUUUGGCCUGCUGGAAUGCUGACGCCGGAAGCAAUUUGAGCCAUUUCAUUUGCUUCACGAUUGAGUUCUCGCGGAAGAUGGUGAAAUUCCACAUCAUGAAAACAACUAAGCAAUUGUUAUGCGGCGGCAUAAUAAGUGGCCAACGAGAGAUUUGAACAUCUAAAAACUUGGAGCAUUUGAUUGAUGACUAAUAUUAAAGUCCAGUUUGAAGGCAUAUUGAUGCUUUUGGCCGGUUGGAGAUUCAAUCACUAUUCCUGCCCCUGCGGAGUCACUGGUGCUUGAGCCAUCAAAAUAUAGUAGCCAAGGCUCGUGAUACAUCUGGCCGACUUGUGCAGUAUCUAUUUCAACGUUCUCCAUAUCUUCAAUUUCAACAGAAGGGUGGUCAGCAAGAAAUUGAGCCAAUGUCUGGCCUUUGACUGACUUCUAGGCCACGUAUUUGAAAGUAAAUUCAGAAAGCGCCAUUGUCCAUUUUCCAAUUCGGCCUUUGAUGAUCGGCCGAGUCAACAUAUAUUUAAUUAAAUCCGUUUGUGAAAUUAUAUGAA